AAGGGCACCACAAGAACGCGUGGAGCAUGUGGCUUAAUUUGACUCAACGCGGGAAAUCUUACCGGGUCCGGACACACUGAGGAUUGACAGGCAAUAUUAAUACGUGUUCGCACGUAUUAUGUUAAAUAUGCUAGUCCUUUCAUGAUUAUGUGAUAGGUGGUGCAUGGCCGUUCUUAGUUCGUGGAGUGAUCUGUCUGCUUAAUUGCGUUUCACUAAGGGCCUAUAAAUUUACGUGUGUUGCGGCACUUUGACCCCUUUCUUCGGAAAGCGCGUGUCUUAGUUUGCUUUGCUCACACAAUUAGGUCCUGAAAGCAACGAACGUGACCGCAACCUCUUGUUGCCUUUAUACCAAACAUGUUUGACAUUUUUAUGGCAUUCAUGAAAAAAGGCUUUUUAAACUAGAGGGACCGCUGUUACUUUCUUAAACCAGAGGAAGGUUGCGGCAAUAACAGGUCUGUGAUGCCCUUAGAUGUUCCGGGCUGCACACGUGCUACAAUGAUUAUUGCAGUGAGCAUCUCAUUUUUACACACCGCAUGCGCGAGUCCAUUUAUUCACUUCGGUGCUUUAAAUGUGUAUUUCUGCGCGCGGUAAAGCCUGCUUCGAAAGUAAGUGGGUAAUCAAUUAGAAGUAAUGAUUUCCUUUUUAGCACACAUAUAUACGGCGUCUAUACCCGGGUUACCUUGUUGUAACUUUUGUGUGUAUAGAUGUUUUUUCCGUAUGUGCGAUUGUCAAUUCAUGGUGGGGACAGACCAUUGUUAAUUGUUGGUCUCGGUCUUAACUAGGAAUGCCUUGUACGGGUCUUUGGUUCAACAAACCACCCGGAAUACGUCCCUGCCCUUUGUACACACCGCCCGUCGCUCUUACCGAUGGACUUCUCUGUGAGUUUGAGGGACUGGGAACGCAGAAUUUAUUCUGCACACCUAUGGAAACUUAAACGAACAGUGUGGUCUAAAGGAAAGAGAAGUCGUAACAAGGCAUCGGUAGGUGAACCUGCAGAAGGAUCA
rnacentral:rRNA from 1 species